UGAGGAAUAUUGGUCAAUGGGCGAGAGCCUGAACCAGCCAAGUCGCGUGAAGGAUGAAGGUUCUAUGGAUUGUAAACUUCUUUUAGAGGGGAAUAAAGUGCAGGACGUGUCCUGUUUUGUAUGUACCCUCUGAAUAAGCAUCGGCUAACUCCGUGCCAGCAGCCGCGGUAAUACGGAGGAUGCGAGCGUUAUCCGGAUUUAUUGGGUUUAAAGGGUGCGUAGGUGGAUGUUUAAGUCAGCGGUGAAAGUUUGUGGCUCAACCAUAAAAUUGCCGUUGAAACUGGGCGUCUUGAGUAUGUUUGAGGUAGGCGGAAUGCGUGGUGUAGCGGUGAAAUGCAUAGAUAUCACGCAGAACUCCAAUUGCGAAGGCAGCUUACUAAACCAUAACUGACACUGAAGCACGAAAGCGUGGGUAUCAAACAGG
rnacentral:rRNA from 1 species